CCUACGGGAGGCAGCAGUGGGGAAUAUUGCGCAAUGGGCGAAAGCCUGACGCAGCGACGCCGCGUGAGGGAGUACUGCCCUAUGGGUUGUAAACCUCUUUUGUCGGGGAGCAAAAGCCGGACGUGUCCGGCUGUGAGAGUACCCGAAGAAAAAGCAUCGGCUAACUCCGUGCCAGCAGCCGCGGUAAUACGGAGGAUGCGAGCGUUAUCCGGAUUUAUUGGGUUUAAAGGGUGCGCAGGCGGAUUUUUAAGUCAGCGGUAAAAUCGUGGGGCUCAACCCCAUCCAGCCGUUGAAACUGGGGAUCUAGAGUGUGCGAGAGGUAUGCGGAAUGCGUGGUGUAGCGGUGAAAUGCAUAGAUAUCACGCAGAACCCCGAUUGCGAAGGCAGCAUACCGGUGCACAACUGACGCUCAGGCACGAAAGUGUGGGUAUCAAACAGGAUUAGAUACCCUUGUAGUC
rnacentral:rRNA from 1 species